CCUACGGGAGGCAGCAGUGAGGAAUAUUGGUCAAUGGACGCAAGUCUGAACCAGCCAAGUAGCGUGAAGGAUGACUGCCCUAUGAGUUGUAAACUUCUUUUGUAAAGGGAUAAAGGCAGGUACGUGUGCCUGUUUGUAAGUACUUUAUGAAUAAGGAUCGGCUAACUCCGUGCCAGCAGCCGCGGUAAUACGGAGGAUUCGAGCGUUAUCCGGAUUUAUUGGGUUUAAAGGGUGCGUAGAUGGGUGGAUAAGUUAGUUGUGAAAGUUUGCGGCUCAACCGUAAAAUUGCCAUUGAUACUGGCCGUCUUGAGUACAGUUGAGGUAGGCGGAAUGUGUGGUGUAGCGGUGAAAUGCUUAGAGAUCACGCAGAACUCCGAUUGCGAAGGCAGCUUACCAAGCUGCCUCUGACAUUGAGGCACGAAAGUGUGGGUAUCAAACAGGAUUAGAUACCCGAGUAGUC
rnacentral:rRNA from 1 species